rnacentral:rRNA from 1 species
UCAAGCGAACAAGGGCGCAGGGCGAAUGCCUUGGCACUGGGAGCCGAUGAAAGACGUGAUAAGCUGCGAUAAGCUUCGGGGAGCUGCAAAUAAGCAUUGAUCCGGAGAUUUCUGAAUGAGGAAACUCACUUAGGUUCAUACCUGAGUACGUUGUACUGAAAUUCAAAAUAGGUACAUCGAGGGAACCGCCUGAACUGAAACAUCUAAGUAGGGCGAGGAAGAGACAUCAAACGAGAUUCCGUAAGUAGUGGCGAGCGAACGCGGAAGAGGGCAAACCGAAGGUAGAAAUACCUUCGGGGUACGGACUGCUUUUAGGACUCAAUCUGUUAACCGAACGGCAUGGGAAGGCCGGUCAGAGAGUGUGAGAACCACGUAGGUGAAAACGGAGAGAGCUGCGCAGAUUCCAGAGUACGGCCAGACACGUGAAACCUGGUCGGAAGAUGGGGGGACCACCCUCCAACCCUAAAUACUACCCAGUGACCGAUAGCGUAUAGUACUGUGAAGGAAAGGUGAAAAGCACCCCGGGAGGGGAGUGAAAAAGAACCUGAAACCCUGUGCCUACAAGCACCUAGAGCACGUCAAUGUGUGAUAGGGUACUUUUUGUAGAACGGUCCGGCGAGCGAUUGUAUGCAGCAAGGUUAAGGACUUAAGGUCUGGAGCCGAAGCGAAAGCGAGUUUGAAAAGGGCGUUAAGUUGCAUAUAAUGGGCCCGAAACCGGGUGACCUACCCAUGGUCAGGUUGAAGUGGAAGUAAAAUUCCAUGGAGGACCGAACCGACCUCCGUUGAAAAGGCGGCGGAUGAACUGUGGGUAGCGGAGAAAUUCCAAUCGAACCCGGAGAUAGCUGGUUCUCCCCGAAAUAGUUUUAGGACUAGCCUCAAGUUAGAUACCUGGAGGUAAAGCACUGAAUAGCCUAGCGGCCGAGAGGUUAGCGAAGCUUAUCAAACUCAGAAUGCCAGAGUAUUGAUGCUUGGGAGUCAGACAGUGUCAGAUAAAUGUCAUUGUCAAAAGGGAAACAGCCCAGAUCUACAGCUAAGGUCCCAAAGUCAGGUUAAGUGGAAAACGAUGUGAAGAUACGCAGACAACCAGGAUGUUGGCUCAGAAGCAGCCACUCAUUCAAAGAGUGCGUAAUAGCUCACUGGUCGAGCGUCUUUGCGCGGAGAAUUUAACGGGGCUAAACCUGACACCGAAGCUUAGGCAAUCCAGCAAUGGAUUGGGUAGGGGAGCGUUGUAUACGCGGAGAAACAGUAGCGUGAGCGGCUGUGGAGUGUAUAGAAGUGAGAAUGCCGGAAUGAGUAGCGCGAAUGCAGUGAGAAUCUGCAUGGCCGAAAGCCUCAGGUUUUUGGAGGAAGGUUCGUCCGCUCCAAGUUAGUCGGGAGCUAAGGUGAGGCCGGAAGGCGUAGCCGAUGCACAGACGGUAGAGAUUCCGUCACCACCAAAAGAGUUAAGCACAGGGACACAUUUGAAGUCUCAGAGCCGGGUGUUGGUUCCGGUAGAGAUCGAGGGAAAUUAGUACCGAAGUCUGAGAUGGAAGAUGGCGAGAAAAGCUGUGUGUAUUUCUGAGGUGCCCGUACCGCAAACCGACACAGGUAGGUAGGAAGAAGAUUCUAAGGCCAACGGGAGAAGGGUUGUUAAGGAACUCGGCAAAUUGACCCCGUAACUUCGGGAGAAGGGGUGCUCCAGAGAUGGAGCCGCAGAGAAUCGGCCCAAGCAACUGUUUACCAAAAACACAGGUUUGUGCUAAAUCGAAAGAUGACGUAUACGAGCUGACGCCUGCCCGGUGCUGGAAGGUUAAGAGGAGAUGUGCAAGCAUUGAAUCGAAGCCCCAGUGAACGGCGGCCGUAACUAUAACGGUCCUAAGGUAGCGAAAUUCCUUGUCAGGUA